rnacentral:rRNA from 1 species
GGUUUGAUCAUGGCCUGCUAGAUUGAACGCUUUUGCGGAUGUUUUACGCACAUAAGUCAGCCUGCAGCACGGACUCCCGGUCUGGUGGCGAUAUGAACGGGUAUACGUAUCGGAACGUGCCUAGAUAACUACGCGAAAGCGUGCAGCUAAUACCGGGCAUACGCCCUUCGGGGAAAGUUGGGACCUUCGGGCCUGCACUAUUAGAGCGGCCGAUAUCGGAUUAGCUAGUUGGUGGGGUAAUGGCUCACCAAGGUUGACGAUCCGUAGCUGGUUUGAGAGGACGACCAUUGCCACUGGGACUGAGACACGGCCCAGACUUACGCCAGGAGGCAGCAGUGGGGAAUUCUUGGACAAUGGGGGAAAACCCCUGAUCCAGCCAUCCCGCGUGUGCGAUGAAGGCCUUCGGGUUGUGAAGCAGACCUUUGGCAGGAGUGCUGAACGGCACGGGAGGUCAUCGUGCAACUGACGGUACCUGCUGCAGAAUAAGCACCGGCUAACUACGUGCCAGCAGCCGCGGUAAUACAGCCGUAGGGUGCAAGCGUUAAUCGAAUUACUGGGCGAAGCGUGCAGGCGGUUCGGAAAGAAAGAUGUGAAAUCCCAGAGCUUAACUUUGGAACUGCAUUUUUAACUACCGAGCUAGAGUGUGUCAGAGGGAGGUGGAAUUCCGCGUGUGUAGCAGUGAAAUGCGUAGAUAUGCGGAGGAACACCGAUGGCGAAGGCAGCUCUCUGGGAGCAAUAACACUGACGCUCAUGCACGCGGGGACAAACAGGAUUAGAUACCCUGGUAGUCCACGCCCUAAACGAUGUCAACUAGCUGUUGGGGCCUUUCGGGCCUUGGUAGCGCAGCUAACGCGGGUGAAGUUGACCGCCUGGGGAGUACGGUCGCAAGAUUAAACUCAAAGGAAUUGACGGGACCCGCACAAGCGGUGGAUGAUGUGGAUUAAUUCGAUGCAACGCGAAAACCUUACCCUACCCUUGACAUGUCUGGAAUCCCGAAGAGAUUUGGGAGUGCUCGCAAGAGAACCGAACACAGGUGCUGUAUGCAUGUCGUCAGCUCGUGUCGUGAGAUGUUGGGUUAAGUCCCGCAACGAGCGCAACCCUUGUCAUUAGUUGCUACGAAAGGGUACUCUAAUGAGAUCAAGCCAGACAAACCGGAGGAAGGUGGGGAUGACGUCAAGUCCUCAUGGCCCUUAUGGCAGGGCCACACGUCAUACAAUGGUCGGGACAGAGGGUCGCCAACCCGCGAGGGGGAGCUAAUCCCGCAGAAACCCGAUCGUAGUCCGAUCGCAGUCUGCAACUCACUGCGUGAAGUCGGAACUGCUAGUAAUCGCGGAUCAGCAUGUCGCGGUGAAUAUUAGUUCCCGGUCUUGUACACACCGCCCGUCACACCAUGGGAGUGGGUUUUACCAGAAGUAGUUAGCCUAACCGUAAGGAGGGCGAUUACCAUUGGUAGGAUUCAUGACUGGGGUGAAGUCGUAACAAGGUAA